rnacentral:tmRNA from 1 species
ACACAUUGGGGCUGAUUCUGGAUUCGACGGGAUUUGCGAAACCCAAGGUGCAUGCCGAGGGGCGGUUGGCCUCGUAAAAAGCCGCAAAAAAUAGUCGCAAACGACGAAAACUACGCUUUAGCAGCUUAAUAACCUGCUUAGAGCCCUCUCUCCCUAGCCUCCGCUCUUAGGACGGGGAUCAAGAGAGGUCAAACCCAAAAGAGAUCGCGUGGAAGCCCUGCCUGGGGUUGAAGCGUUAAAACUUAAUCAGGCUAGUUUGUUAGUGGCGUGUCCGUCCGCAGCUGGCAAGCGAAUGUAAAGACUGACUAAGCAUGUAGUACCGAGGAUGUAGGAAUUUCGGACGCGGGUUCAACUCCCGCCAGCUCCACCAAAAUUCUCCAUCGGUGAUUACCAGAGUCAUCCGAUGAAGUCCUAAGAGCCCGCACGGCGCAAGCCCUGCGGGCUUUUUU